CACAGAGAAGCACAGUCACCAGGAAUUAGAGCGGGCUCACAUCGCUGUGUGCUUGAACUGCACCAGAGGCUGCUGACUGAUGUCAGGUGUCAUAACCGGAAGAUCCAGCACUGCUCUGUUCUCUUCUUAUGUUGCAGGAUCAGUACAGUACAAGCUGAGUUGAAGCACAACUCCAUGGCAAUGAGGUGGUGUUGCAAGAUUUGCAGAUUUUCUUCACCAAACCAGCGUGUCCUAAUCACACACUACAAGCUGAAACACUGCCAUCAGGAAAGUCACUGUCCACUCCCAUGCAUCUAUAAAGACUGUGUAUGCACAUUUAUGAGUGAACUGUCUCCGAAGAAGCAUUUAACUCGUGACCAUAGUCAGUGUGUGGAAUCCUUGUGUGAAAUUGCUUUCUCCCCUCAAAAUGACAAUUCUUUGAUCAUUUACUCACUUUCAUGUUUGUCAAAACCUCUAUAACCUUUUUAUUCUAUAGAUCAUAAAACUAAUGAUAGUGAAAUGUUUUCUUACAAAAACAGAUCCAAGAUCCUGCAGAGAUUACCUUUUAACCCCAAUUAAAAACACCUAAACCAGCUAAUCCUGAUGUUCAGUAUCACUAUAAACUUCUCGGCAAUAUGUUGAAUCAGGUUGGAGUUAAACUCUGCAAUACAUUAUUGGCCCUCCAUAAGCAGGAUUAGACACCUCUUAUUUAGGUGGCAUAAGAAUGUUAGAUCCACUAUUAAAUCUUAUUUUGGUGCUGAACAAAAAAGGUAACAAACAACUGUUGUUGCAUCACAUCACUGGUUAUUUAUGUACAUCCGAAGUAUACAAGUGUAAAUGUGCAAAUUUGAAAUUUAUGCUUUUUGGAAAAAAUAAAACGAAUAAAAAUCAGGAUUGAAGGAACCAUUCUAUAUUUUACAGAAAACAAACCAUAGGAUGAGGACUGCAGCAUUGCUGGGCCUGCCGUGGUACAUGCGAGAAACUCCUUCAAAAUUCAUGAAGAUUUGCGUGGUAAAAUGAAACGUAUAAGGAAAAAUUGGACAUUAGAUCUCUUAAUUUGCAGGGGUCUGAGAACCUCCAUUCCAUUUUCUACCGCUUAUCCGAACUACCUCGGGUCACGGGGAGCCUGCGCCUAUCUCAGGAGUCAUCGGGCAUCAAGGCAGGAUACACCCUGGAUGGAGUGCCAACCCAUCGCAGGGCACACACACUCACUCACUCAUUCACUCACUCAUUCACUCACACCCUACGGACAAUUUUUCCAGAGAUGCCAAUCGACAUACCAUGCAUGUCUUUGGACCAGGGGAGGAAACCGGAGUACCCGGAGGAAACCCCCGAGGCACGGGGAGAACAUGCAAACUCCACACACACAAGUCGGAAGCGGGAAUUUUUAUGAAAGAUGAUGAGAUGACUUUCCUUGUGACUCCCCGCCCCUCGGUGUAUUUGCAUGAUUAUGGACUUUAUGAGAUUUUGCCUGCGACAAAGGAAUUAAUUUGUGUAAAUGCUGAGGAAUGUCUGGAUUAUUAUCCCUUAAAUGAGUACAGUUUUAUGGGACUGAAGGUCAUUACUCUGAAGCACAGCGUUGUUCAUCUCUAAAAAGGAUAAACUGUCCUCUCCCAACCGAAAUGGAUGCAUUGUUGACUUUUAUUGAGAAUGUGUUCCCAAACCCUAUAACUUGAAAGCUGGCCAUAGAGGGUUUGAACAGCCUAGGUGUGGAGACCAUAGAUGACCUACAGUUUUUGAAAGAUGAUGAUCUAGGUGGCUUCCUGAGACCGAUUGAAGCAAGAAAACUAAUAGCCCAAAUCCCAAAUAUUGCUUCCACUCCUCAAAACACUGCCAAUGAUUUGUCUGCUGAAUACACUUCUGAUGCAUCAGGUCACCUGCUCCUGGAUGCUCAAUUUCACCAUCCAGCUCUUCAAGUGGAAGACGUGACAGUAGCUGUGAAACUUCGUUUUAUGACCAUGACUGGCAUUAUAGUUUUGAUGUUCCAUGGCAAAAAAUCCCUGCAAGUUUUAUGGAAAAGUUGCAAAAUGGCGAAAGGCCAAGUUGCUCUGAGAGAAGACACUUGGUCCGCAUUGUUGCUUCUGAGAUCCUGGAAGUCAGCAAAUGUCCAGCAAAAAACAUGUAUCAGAAAUAGCCCGUCAAAUGGUGAUUGCAUACCCAUAGUCCUUCAGAGAUGAGAUUAAUUCCCAGGUUGUAGGAAGUGGAUAUGAUUCUCUCCUCAAACAACUGGUGUGUAGAAUUUACUAUUUUAAAAGAGCAAAAGCUAUUAGUACACCACUUUGUGGUACUCUAGAAGUAUCAACAAAGAAACUAAAAUUGUUAUAUGGUUGUAUUAAUUCUGAUCCACAACUGCUAGUUGGAGAAACAUCCGAAUUGCAGCAGGAAAAGAAAGAGAAGUUGCUAGUAAUGUUUCAAAAUAAUGAAAGUGAUGUAAAGACAAUCUAUGGCUUAAUGACUUCUACUUACACCUCUCAAAGAAACAACAUCCAAUCUGGAAAGGAAACCAAAGAUUUACUUGAUGAGUGGCCAUAUCUUUUUCAGCCAGCAGGAAUGAAAGCACACUUUAAAGAGCUCACUGGCAUUGACAUAAACAACAGCUUUGAAGAAUCUGCUUCCAGUAAGUUCAUAAGAAUAUUGGAGUACUUUCAAUUUCAGUGCACAGAAAAAGCAAGCAGAGCAGGGAGAAUCCUCACAAAAUAUAGAGCUGGAGGGAAUCAUGUUUGUGGGGCAGUGAUGUUGCUGCUAACCCAUUUAAAAAAUGACCAAGACCACUUUCUUGUGAUGGUAGAAGACACCUCUGUUCCAAGUGAUGUAUGCUCAGAACAGCUUCCAGCAACACCAUGUAUAGUAGUGUGUGGAGAGAACCUACUGACAGUCAGUGUGUACAUGGUAGCAGUAGACCAGAUGAUUGUAAAUGACCAUCUCUUGAGUUUUACAGAAGCCCUGUAUCUGAUGUUCUCUCUUUACUAUAUGUUAAAAAUCAGUUACCCUGUAGAACUGGGAGCCACACUAGAAUUCUUGCAAAGGUGCAUCUUUAGGAUAAAUCCUCAUAAAGGUACCAAGGUGGAAAAGAGAGAGAAAAAGAGAGCGUAGUCUGUCAACCCCAGAGUAUUGAGUCUGACGUCAAAAAUUGCUGCAUUUGACUGGGGAGAGUAACAGAUGUGGUCUUUCAGAAGAUUGACAUUUCGCUGAAGAACAGGACAGACCGACUUUUUGUUCAUUUUGUGAUGUGAUAAACUCCAAAAUUAUCAGAGUCCAGGCCCAGUGUUUUUGUUUAUUUUAAAUUGAACACAUUUGUGUUAUGAAACAUGCUUUAUCCAUUUUCCCCAUGUGACAUGUUCAGAAUUAUCAGAAUCCAGGUCGACUUUUUUUUUAAUUGAACAAAUUUGUGUUCUAA